rnacentral:rRNA from 1 species
GCCUGCGGCGUAUCAGGUUGUAGGGGGUGUAAUGGACCUCCUAGCCAUCGACGCGUACGGGUGUUGGGAGACAUAGCCCGGAGAUGGAUUCUGAGACACGAAUCCAGGCCCUACGGGGCGCAGCAGUUACGAAAACUUGGCAAUGCGGGAAACCGUGACCAGGGAACUCCAAGUGAGUCUCUUUUAGGGGCUCUUUUCUUGACUCUAAAACGGUCUUGGAAUAAGGGGUGGGUAAGGACGGUGCCAGCCGCCGCGGUAAUACCGGCGCCUCAGGUGGUCGUCGCUUUUAUUGGGCCUAAAACGUCCGUAGCCGGUUUGGUACAUUCGUGGGUAAAUCAGCUCGCUCAACGAGUUGAAUUCUGCGAGGACGGCCAGACUAGGGACCGGGAGAGGUGUGGGGAACUCUCAGGGUAGGGGUAAAAUCCUGUCAUCCUGAGAGGACCACCUGUUGCGAAGGCGCCACACUAGAACGGAUCCGACGGUCAGGGACGAAGCCUAGGGGCACGAACCGGAUUAGAUACCCGGGUAGUCCUAGGUGUAAACGCUGUGGACUUGGUGUUGGGGAAGCCCAGAGCUUUCCCAGUGCCGUAGCGAAGGUGUUGAGUCCACUGCCUGGGGAAUACGGUCGCAAGGCUGAAACUUAAAGGAAUUGGCGGGGGAGCACUGCAACCGGAGGAGUGUGCGGUUUAAUUGGAGUCAACGCCGG